UGUUUAGCUAAAGUUGCAAUUCACAAAUCUUCAGCUCUCUUUCCUCUUCUUGCAGUAUCGAUUCAAUAUGGCUUUUGCUUCUUCUUUUGUUUGCUUUAUUCUAUCUCUUCUUCUGAUUUUAGUUCAAGCAAAGGGGUGAAAUGAUUCAGCUUGUCCAAAGUCCUUUACAUGUGGAAAUCUUACUGACAUGAGCUUUCCUUUCACUCUUUUAACACAACCUGACUGUGGAAUUAUGUCCAUUUCUGGUUGUGAUGUUAAACAAUAUCCAAGAAUCCAAUUGCUUCCUGGAGGAGAUUGGUAUGAUGCUAUAAGUAUGCCGUUUAAUUAUACAGUUUUGCUUGUGGACCCGAAGUUUCAAACUAUCUUGAGGAAAAACAAGUGCCAGGCUUUUAACAAAAAUAUCUCCCUUCCAGAUUCUCCUUCUAUAUCUUUCAAAAUUCUCCAAAUAUUUAUGACGGAUUUUUACAGAUGCAACAGUGCUAGUAGUACCUUGAAGCACAACGAGCAUUUUUCUGGUUAUAAAAUGUACAAUGGUUGUAAAGGCUUUAACAUAUACUACAAUCUUCCCGGAGAUGAUGAUGAAGUCUUUCCAGCAGGCAAUCUUACUACCAACUGUUCACUUCUCCAAUUGCCAAUUCACCCAACAGUAGAUGGAAACUUUUUUACUCCCGGAUUUCUAGUAGAAUGGAAACUCUCUGAUGACUGUAACAAAUGUCACUAUGAUGGAGGUCAAUGUCGGACGGAUACAACCAACAAAUUUUAUUGUCAAAAAGAUGCAACGACUAGAAGAAGUAUGGGGAUGGUUCUAGGCACAGUUUUUGGUGGAGUAGGAUUGUUGAUGAUAACUUGUUUAGCUGUCUCCUUUAUCUGGUGUUACAAGGAGAGGAAAUUUAGUCCUUUCCGCUACCUCUCAGCAAAGAAAUUCUCGGAUAUAUUUAAACAUGAUGUUGAGGGAGGGAGCAAAUACUUUGGUGUCCCAGUCUUCUCUUAUUCAGAACUUGAAAAAGCCACAAAUGAUUUCAGUUCCUCCAGAGUAAUUGGACAUGGAGGUUUUGGAACUGUUUACUAUGGAAAACUAAAGGAUGGACGAGAGGUUGCUGUGAAGCGCCUUUACGAGCACAACUGCAAACAAAUGCAGCAGUUUGUAAAUGAAAUUGAGAUCCUUACUAGGCUAAGGCACAACAAUCUUGUCACCCUCUAUGGCUGCACAUCAAGGCGUAGCCGUGAACUACUCCUUGUCUAUGAAUACAUUCCUAAUGGAACUCUUGCUGAUCACCUCCAUGGUGACAGAGCGAAGAACAGAUCACUCACCUUGCCAGUCCGUUUGAACAUUGCCAUAGAAACUGCUGGUGCAUUGGCUUACCUUCAUGCUUCUGACAUAAUACACUGUGAUGUCAAGACUAAUAACAUACUCCUUGAUCAGAAUUUCAGUGUCAAAGUUGCAGAUUUUGGGAUAUCAUGUCUCUUCCCAAAUGACGUCUCUCAUAUCUCAACUGCACCCCGGGGGACCCCUGGCUAUAUUGAUCCAAAGUAUCAAGAAUGUUAUCAGCUGACUAGUAAAAGUGAUGUCUAUAGCUUCGGGGUGGUCCUUGUUGAGCUCAUUUCAUCAAUGCCAGCUGUGGAUAUGAACAGGCAUAGCCAAGAAGUUAAUUUGGCUAAUUUUGCUAUAAACAAGAUCGUAAAAUGUGCAUUUCACGAGUUGAUCGAUCCAUCCCUGGGGUUCGACUCAGAUACCAAGAUUUUGGAAAUGACUGCUUCAGUGGCAGAGCUGGCUUUUCUAUGCUUACAGACAGAUAGGGACAUGAGGCCUACUAUGGUUGAAGUUUUGGAUACUCUAAAGGAGAUUCAGACUAGUGAAUUUGACAAUGAAAAGAAAGUAUUUCCUUUCCCUGAAUCAGAAGAUCAGUUAUUGCUUAAACAAGUUAAAUCACUACCUUCACCAAAUUCUGUGACUGGCAAAUGGAUUACUUGCUCUAGUAUAACUAAUACAAAGUAGUUCUGUACCCCCUUCCUUUGUUAUUGAUGUAGAUUUUGAGAGACUAUGAAUGUACUACUCGGAGAAGUUUCUUGAGCAAUGUAUCUACGAGUGAAAGUGAUUCAAUUUUUAGUUUCAUUAUA